GAUGAGCUUGCCGAGGAUCCUCUCGUGAAAAUAGAGGUAGAAGCGGUGCCACGGAAAGAAGAGCCAUGAGAAGUGGAUCUGCAGGUCCAAGUUCUCGAACCCCACCUGAUUGUAUGCGCCGUCGCAGUAGGCGCAGUGAACCCUUGCCUGCUGGCUGAAGCUACGGGGAUCGGUAGGCUCGAGUAGGGGGGGUGUUGAACCGCCGGAG
rnacentral:misc_RNA from 1 species